rnacentral:rRNA from 1 species
CCUACGGGAGUCUGCAGUGAGGAAUAUUGGUCAAUGGCCGAGAGGCUGAACCAGCCAAGUCGCGUGAGGGAAGAAUGUCCUAUGGAUUGUAAACCUCUUUUGUCAGGGAGCAAAGUCACCCACGUGUGGGUGUUGGAGAGUACCUGAAGAAAAAGCAUCGGCUAACUCCGUGCCAGCAGCCGCGGUAAUACGGAGGAUGCAAGCGUUAUCCGGAUUUACUGGGUGUAAAGGGAGCGUAGACGGCGUGCCAAGUCUGAUGUGAAAGGCCGGGGCUCAACCCCGGGACUGCAUUGGAAACUGGCAUGCUGGAGUGCCGGAGGGGCAAGCGGAAUUCCUAGUGUAGCGGUGAAAUGCGUAGAUAUUAGGAGGAACACCAGUGGCGAAGGCGGCUUACUGGACUGUAACUGACGUUGAGGCUCGAAAGCGUGGGGAGCAAACAGGAUUAGAUACCCGUGUAGUC